UCGGCUUGGUGUCGUUGAGGUAGUGGUUGUAAUAGCUCAAGAAUAUACCCUCCCGAGCGCUAUUCCACAAUCUACUUCUCCAUCACCGAUCCACAGUCGACA
rnacentral:pre_miRNA from 1 species